UACGUAGGGUGCAAGCGUUGUCCGGAAUUAUUGGGCGUAAAGAGCGCGUAGGCGGUCCGAUAAGUCGGCUGUGAAAGUCAGGGGCUCAACCCUUGGAAGCCGGCCGAUACUGUCGGACUAGAGUCCGGAAGAGGCGAGUGGAAUUCCCGGUGUAGCGGUGAAAUGCGCAGAUAUCGGGAGGAACACCAAUGGCGAAGGCAGCUCGCUGGGACGGUACUGACGCUGAGGCGCGAAAGCGUGGGGAGCAAACAGG
rnacentral:rRNA from 1 species